rnacentral:rRNA from 1 species
UACGGAGGGUGCAAGCGUUGUCCGGAAUCACUGGGCGUAAAGGGCGCGUAGGUGGCGUGAUAAGGGUGUGGUGAAAGCCCGGGGCUCAACCCCGGGUCUGCCAUGCCGACUGUCAGGCUAGAGUACUGUAGGGGCAGGCGGAAUUCCGGGUGUAGCGGUGGAAUGCGUAGAGAUCCGGAGGAACACCAGAGGCAAAGGCGGCCUACUGGGCCAGUACUGACGCUGAGCCGCGAAAGCGUGGGGAGCAAACAGG